ensembl:snoRNA SNORD36 Small nucleolar RNA SNORD36
UUACAAUGAUGUUUUGAAUUUCUUCACCUGAUUCUCAAUGAAGAUUAAACACGAGCUUUUUAACCCUGAGUAAC